rnacentral:misc_RNA from 1 species
GAAAUGCGAUAAGUAAUGUGAAUUGCAAUUCCGUGAAUCAUUAAAUCUUUGAACGCACAUUGCGCUUUGUGGUAUUCCGCAGAGCAUGUCUGUUUGAGAAUCAGUACAACCUUCACUCUUGCUUUAUGUGGGAGAGGACUUGGGGCCUUUAAAUCUUUUUGGUUUAAUGCCCUUUAACUGAAUUUUUCGCCUUUCUCUGAUAAAGAGUUGACUGGAAAGCAUGACUAAUGGACUGCAAAGUUCUUAUUAUGCUGACAAAGGUCAUUUCCCAAUCUUAAGGGUGGAAACCAAUAAUACACGAGUUUUAACUCAAGACUUGAUCUCAAAUCAGACAAGACUACCCGCUGAACUUAA